rnacentral:rRNA from 1 species
UAGGGAAUCUUCCGCAAUGGACGCAAGUCUGACGGAGCAACGCCGCGUGAGUGAAGAAGGAUUUCGGUUCGUAAAACUCUGUUGUUAGAGAAGAACAGCGCAUAGAGUAACUGUUAUGCGUGUGACGGUAUCUAACCAGAAAGCCACGGCUAACUACGUGCCAGCAGUCGCGGUAAUACGUAGGUGGCAAGCGUUGUCCGGAUUCAUUGGGCGUAAAGCGAGCGCAGGCGGUCAAUUAAGUCUGAUGUGAAAGCCCCCGGCUCAACCGGGGAGGGUCAUUGGAAACUGGUUGACUGGAGUGCAGAAGAGGAGAGUGGAAUUCCAUGUGUAGCGGUGAAAUGCGUAGAUAUAUUGAGGAACACCAGUGGCGAAGGCGACUCUCUGGUCUGAAACUGACGCUGAUGCUCGAAAGCGUGGGUAGCAAACAGG